rnacentral:rRNA from 1 species
UACGUAGGGUGCAAGCGUUGCCCGGAUUUAUUGGGCGUAAAGGGCGCGUAGGCGGCUCGGCACGUCCGUUGUGAAAUCGCCCGGCUCAACUGGGCGGGGUCAGCGGAUACGGCCGAGCUUGAGCAAGCUAGGGGGCAAUGGAAUUCCCGGUGUAGUGGUGAAAUGCGCAGAUAUCAGGAAGAACACCAAUGGCGAAGGCAGCUCUCUGGGACGGUACUGACGCUGAGACGCGAAAGCGUGGGGAGCGAACAGG